rnacentral:misc_RNA from 1 species
ACCGAUGACGGCGAUUACAACGUCAAACUGCGCAACCUCAUUCGCUUCCUCGACGACGGUGACAAGACGAAAAUCACGUUGCGUUUCCGCGGCCGCGAAAUGGCCCACCAGGAAAUCGGUAUGCGCAUGCUGGAACGCCUGCGCACUGACCUUGACGAAGUCGGUCAAGUCGAGCAAAUGCCGAAAAUGGAAGGGCGCCAGAUGAUCAUGGUGCUCGCUCCGAAGAAAAAGAAGUAAGCAACGCGCGUGGUUGCAAGUGCGUUGCCGGGUUGUGCACCGUGAGGCGCGCAACUGUUACUGUGAAAAGAUUGAGUUGUACUUCGCUGCAUGUGUGGCGAA